rnacentral:rRNA from 1 species
UGGGGAAUAUUGCACAAUGGGCGCAAGCCUGAUGCAGCGACGCCGCGUGAGGGAUGACGGCCUUCGGGUUGUAAACCUCUUUCGCCAGGGACGAAGCCGUAAGGUGACGGUACCUGGAUAAGAAGCACCGGCUAACUACGUGCCAGCAGCCGCGGUAAUACGUAGGGUGCGAGCGUUGUCCGGAAUUAUUGGGCGUAAAGAGCUCGUAGGCGGUUUGUCGCGUCGUUCGUGAAAACUCCACGCUUAACGUGGAGCGUGCGGGCGAUACGGGCAGACUUGAGUUCGGUAGGGGAGACUGGAAUUCCUGGUGUAGCGGUGAAAUGCGCAGAUAUCAGGAGGAACACCGGUGGCGAAGGCGGGUCUCUGGGCCGAUACUGACGCUGAGGAGCGAAAGCGUGGGGAGCGAACAGG